UAUGAACCUGAGAAUCAUUAACUUUAUAUGUGUUUUUCUUAUUGGAUCGGUCUAUUCUGCAAAAUGUGCAAACAAAGAAAAUGAGAAACAUUGCUGUUCCGGUUAUAUGUUGAACGUAAAAUCAAAAAAGUGUGAGAAAUGCCCCAUUGGAUAUACCGGGGUUGACUGCCUGUACAGAUGUAUUUUUCCUGACUUUGGGGAAGAUUGUGUUCAAAAAUGCAAUUGUACCGAGGACAUAUGUGAUUUUAUCAAUGGAUGCCAGUUUGAAAAUUUUC